rnacentral:rRNA from 1 species
UACGUAGGGUGCGAGCGUUAAUCGGAAUUACUGGGCGUAAAGCGUGCGCAGGCGGUGAUGUAAGACAGGUGUGAAAUCCCAGGGCUUAACCUUGGAACUGCAUUUGUGACUGCAUCGCUGGAGUGCGGCAGAGGGGGAUGGAAUUCCGCGUGUAGCAGUGAAAUGCGUAGAUAUGUGGAGGAACACCGAUGGCGAAGGCAAUCCCCUGGGCCUGCACUGACGCUCAUGCACGAAAGCGUGGGGAGCAAACAGG